rnacentral:rRNA from 1 species
AUACGAAGGGGGCUAGCGUUGUUCGGAAUUACUGGGCGUAAAGCGCGCGUAGGCGGACUGAUCAGUUGGGGGUGAAAUCCCAGGGCUUAACCCUGGAACUGCCUCCAAUACUGUCAGUCUUGAGUUCGGGAGAGGUGAGUGGAAUUCCUAGUGUAGAGGUGAAAUUCGUAGAUAUUAGGAUGAACACCAGUGGCGAAGGCGGCUCACUGGCCCGAUACUGACGCUGAGGCGCGAAAGCGUGGGGAGCAAGCAGGAUUAGAAACCCCAGUAGUCC